AGCCCUGUGGUGAGUAUCACAUCAAAUUGCAAAUUUGAAGAAGUUCCUAUUAGGUUCCAGGGCUU
rnacentral:tRNA from 1 species